rnacentral:tRNA from 1 species
UCUCCGACAGUCCAGUGGUUAGGACUAGGAACUUUCACUGCUGGGGCCCAGGUUGAAUCCCUGGUCAGGGAA